rnacentral:rRNA from 1 species
CUUGGUCAUUUAGAGGAAGUAAAAGUCGUAACAAGGUUUCCGUAGGUGAACCUGCGGAAGGAUCAUUAUUGAAAGUGGGGUUUGUGUGGGGUUUGUGGGGGUGAUUCUCAUAUGAGGGUGAUUCUCACUUUACUGCACAAAUGACACACAUUUACGCUUAUAGGUCUUGACAGGUUGACAAAACAUUUACUUUAAGACUUUUAACAAUGGAUCUCUGGGCUCCUGCAUCGAUGAAGAACGCAGUAAAGUGCGAUAUGUAGUGCGAUUUGCAUGAAUCUGUGAGUCAUUGAAUCUUUGAACGCAUCUUGCGCCACAGUGUGGCAUGUCCGGUUGAGGGUCUAAUAUAAUACUAAUGGUGGUUAUCGACGCGUGAGUGUCAAUCGACAUGUAAGUGUCAAUCGACAUGUGAGUGUCAAUCGACAUGUGAGUGUCAAUCGACAUGUGAGUGUCAAUCGACAUGUGAAUGUCAAUCGACAUUAGUAGUGUCAUGACAUAAAUACAUUACUCUUUACAGUGGUUAAAGCUUGCCAAGUACAGCAAUAAUCAUAACAAGGCCUCAGCUCGGACAGGAUUACCCGCUGAACUUAAGCAUAUCAGUAAGCGGAGGAAAAGAAACUAACAAGGAUUCCCCUAGUAACGGCGAGUGAAGCGGGAUCAGCUCAAAUUUAGAAUCUCAACACAGCGUGUUGCGAAUUGUAGUCUAGAGACAGAACAGUCUAGGGCGUGCAGUCAGCGCAAGUUCCUUGGAAUGGGACACCAGAGAGGGUGAGAGUCCCGUGGCGCAGACAGCGUGCUCGCAGUGAUUGUCUGUCUACGAGUCGAGUUGUUUGGGAAUGCAGCUCAAAGUGGGUGGUAAAUCUGAUCAAAGGCUAUAUAUGAGCAGGAGACCGAUAGCGAACAAGUACCGUGAGGGAAAGAUGAAAAGCACCUUGAAAAGGGAGUUAAAUAGUGCGUGAAAUUGUUAAAAGGGAAACGAUAUAGAUCAGUGUUUGGGGUGUGUGUAGUGCAUGUUUUGGUGUGUACUGGAGUAUGCUCCAUAGUCAUUGUGUAAUGGAUGGGUGACUAAAUUUCUGAAAGGUAGCAUGUAUUUAUAUGUGUGUUAUAGUCAGAACUGUGUCACUCGGUUUACACGGACUGACAAAAUGGUCUUUAGCGACCCGUCUUGAAACACGGACC